CAGUGGUAGUGUGCACUGGAAUCGAGCCUGUUAGAUAACUUUUUGCUUUCACUGUAGGCGAUAAUGAUGGAAGGGGAAAACCCUCGCGUGAAUGGAACCGCACAAAUCAUUUAUGGCUGAUGCGGAUGCUGACUGUUGAAUGCCAAAUGCAAAAUGUACGGUGCAAUUUAUGCAAAUUUGUAUUUCAAUUCAGCCCACACAACAACACCACUACGCCCUGGGAUCUAAUAGUUAUAUUUUUAUAUACGUAUGCUUAUAAAAAUGGUGUAUGAAAUGGUUGGGAAAACAAGUUGAACAAGUCAAAGUACUCGGCGGUGGCGCAGUCUAUAUAGAUAUGGUAUUUGUUUUGGCUUUGCGUUAUUAGCGUGUCGUGACUGUGGCAUUAGAGCUCUUCGCGUUUCGGAUUGCGGCGGAUUUCUAUUUGUCCAACCAUAUCGGAUACACAGAUCCAUUCACACCUUGCCGAGAAAGAAGUAUGUAUGCAGGUAGGUACGGGUGUAUCUUGUAUCUUGCAGAUACGAACGUUGCUGUGGACUAUUUCAGGGAAAUGUCAAGCCGCAGACAAUUGUCGAAGCCGAUCACGUUGCAUGCGAUUCCCUCUCGACUGUCAGACAGUAAUAAUUUUUGAAAUUGCACAUUAAUGGCGGGGCAUUUGCAAAUUGCUUAUGCAGCAUGCAGUGCAGGCUGAUUUGGUGAAAAUGCAGCUCACGUUUGCAGCUACUUGCAGAAAAGGUCCGCAUUGCGCAUACGCUCUGUGGUCCGUCGGCGGAUGCAAUAAGUCAAAGGGUGACCCUGGCAUUUUCUAACCCACUUGGCUGCCAACCGACCAAUCAACGCUCAACAGCGAAAAUCGUAUGUAUCUGGCUGUCAUUAGUUUCGCCACUUGUCACACCCAAAGGGAGCUCGAGGCUUCACUGUACUCACCGGUGGCGGUUCGCUGGCGGUGCUGUAGACCUCGCUAGCCGCAUAGUCGGGCUUCAUUUGCACGGUAGCCAUCGAGACGGUAUCCUUCUCGGUCAUCUAUAGCACUACAAAAUAUGGGGAACAAUCGGUUAACUCUCGGCUACUCGAAGUCCUGCCAUGUAAAAUCCAAGCAAGGAUAAUUGAUAAUUGUGGGCAAUAACAGUUCGUAUUGUAGUUGGGAAGACACAAUUUUCUACACUUUCUUUUAUCACUUUUCACUUGCUACAGUUUUAAUUCGCAGCGUCUGGCAUUAGUAUCCUUCACUUACGUAGAGGAUUUUCCAAAAAUUCGACAAAAAGUAAGAGGAAUUUCGUUGUACGAUUUAUUAUUCAGCGGUCUUGU